UAAGUGUGAAUAAUCAGCUAAACAAGACCCAGCAAAGCUCGAAGCUAGAGUAUGAAAUUCGAGCGCCCAAAAAAGGAACAACAACAAAACUUCCUCAGCAAAACCAGAAAAUCAGCAUCAAAUCUCGGCAAAAAUCGAAACAAUCCUUUCUAAGCUCUUUGUGUUUCAGUUUAAACUCUUUUGAAUUCUUUCAAUUCGGGAAUUUACUUUCUAAAAUUGGGAGAAGAAUUCUUUGUUCUAAAAGAGGAGUAUCAGGCAGUGUUAGGAAGGUCUAAUUUUAUUAAUGUAAGAUCUCCUCUCUUAGCCUUUAGGAUUUUAUUUUAAUGAAGGGAUUGGGUCAGGGAAUUGGGUCAUGAAUUUGGGCUAAUUAACGUUGGCCCAAUACACU
rnacentral:lncRNA from 1 species